rnacentral:rRNA from 1 species
GUGGGGGUGCUUAACACAUGGCAAGUCGAACGAUGAACCGCUUUCGGGCGGGGAUUAGUGGCGAACGGGUGAGUAACACGUGGGCAAUCUGCCCUGCACUCUGGGACAAGCCCUGGAAACGGGGUCUAAUACCGGAUAUGACUGUCCAUCGCAUGGUGGAUGGUGUAAAGCUCCGGCGGUGCAGGAUGAGCCCGCGGCCUAUCAGCUUGUUGGUGAGGUAGUGGCUCACCAAGGCGACGACGGGUAGCCGGCCUGAGAGGGCGACCGGCCACACUGGGACUGAGACACGGCCCAGACUCCUACGGGAGGCAGCAGUGGGGAAUAUUGCACAAUGGGCGAAAGCCUGAUGCAGCGACGCCGCGUGAGGGAUGACGGCCUUCGGGUUGUAAACCUCUUUCAGCAGGGAAGAAGCGAAAGUGACGGUACCUGCAGAAGAAGCGCCGGCUAACUACGUGCCAGCAGCCGCGGUAAUACGUAGGGCGCAAGCGUUGUCCGGAAUUAUUGGGCGUAAAGAGCUCGUAGGCGGCUUGUCACGUCGGUUGUGAAAGCCCGGGGCUUAACCCCGGGUCUGCAGUCGAUACGGGCAGGCUAGAGUUCGGUAGGGGAGAUCGGAAUUCCUGGUGUAGCGGUGAAAUGCGCAGAUAUCAGGAGGAACACCGGUGGCGAAGGCGGAUCUCUGGGCCGAUACUGACGCUGAGGA